UAUCCGGGAUUUAUUGGGUUUAAAGGGUGCGUAGGCGGAAUAAUAAGUCAGUGGUGAAACCCUGCAGCUUAACUGUAGACUUGCCAUUGAUACUGUUUUUCUUGAGUAUGGUCAAGGCAGGCGGAAUGUGUAAUGUAGCGGUGAAAUGCUUAGAUAUUACACAGAACACCGAUAGCGAAGGCAGCUUGCUGGGCCGUUACUGACGCUGAUGCACGAAAGCGUGGGGAUCGAACAGGAUUAGAUACCCUGGUAGUCCACGCCGUAAACGAUGAUCACUAGCUGUUGGCGAUACACCGAUCAGCGGCAAAGCAAAAGCAUUAAGUGAUCCACCUGGGGAGUACGGCCGCAAGGCUGAAACUCAAAGGAAUUGACGGGGGCCCGCACAAGCGGAGGAACAUGUGGUUUAAUUCGAUGAUACGCGAGGAACCUUACCUGGGCUUAAAUGUAGAGUGCAUUGAGAGGAAACUUUCAUUUUCUUCGGAACUCUUUACAAGGUGCUGCAUGGUUGUCGUCAGCUCGUGCCGUGAGGUGUCGGGUUAAGUCCCAUAACGAGCGCAACCCUUAUCGUUAGUUGCCAGCGGGUAAUGCCGGGAACUCUAGCGAAACUGCCGGUGUAAACCGAGAGGAAGGUGGGGAUGACGUCAAAUCAGCACGGCCCUUAUGUCCAGGGCUACACACGUGUUACAAUGGCCGGUACAGAGGGCAGCUACCUGGAGACAGGAUGCGAAUCUCGAAAGCCGGUCUCAGUUCGGAUCGGAGUCUGCAACCCGACUCCGUGAAGCUGGAUUCGCUAGUAAUCGCGCAUCAGCCAUGGCGCGGUGAAUACGUUCCCGGGCCUUGUACACACCGCCCGU
rnacentral:rRNA from 1 species